rnacentral:rRNA from 1 species
UACGGAGGGUGCAAGCGUUAAUCGGAAUUACUGGGCGUAAAGCGCGCGUAGGUGGCUAAGUCAGCCAGGUGUGAAAGCCCCGGGCUCAACCUGGGAACGGCAUCUGGAACUGCUUGGCUAGAGUGCAGGAGAGGAAGGUAGAAUUCCCGGUGUAGCGGUGAAAUGCGUAGAGAUCGGGAGGAAUACCAGUGGCGAAGGCGGCCUUCUGGACUGACACUGACACUGAGGUGCGAAAGCGUGGGUAGCAAACAGG